rnacentral:sRNA from 1 species
UGAAAUACACGUAGAGACAAAGAAAAAGCUGAAUACUGAGACAGUACAUACAUUACAAAUAUGAUAC